UCUCCGUUGGUGAACCAGCGGAGGGAUCAUUACCGAGUUAUUCUACUCCCAAACCCCUGUGAACUUAUACCUUUACUGUUGCUUCGGCGGGUUAACGCCCCGGAAGGCCCAAAAAGCCGCCGGAACCAGGCGCCCGCCGGGGGACCCAAACUCUUGUAUUUCUUACUUUGCAUGUCUGAGUGGAAUCAUAAACAAAUGAAUCAAAACUUUCAACAACGGAUCUCUUGGUUCUG
rnacentral:misc_RNA from 1 species